UACAGAGGGGGCAAGCGUUGUUCGGAAUUACUGGGCGUAAAGGGCGCGUAGGCGGCCCGCUAAGUCGAACGUGAAAUCCCCGGGCUCAACCCGGGAACUGCGUCUGAGACUGGAAGGCUUGAAUCCGGGAGAGUGAUGUGGAAUUCCAGGUGUAGCGGUGAAAUGCGUAGAUAUCUGGAGGAACACCGGUGGCGAAGGCGGCAUCCUGGACCGGUAUUGACGCUGAGGCGCGAAAGCCAGGGGAGCAAACGGG
rnacentral:rRNA from 1 species